UACGUUAAAGUGUAAGAUGCACGUCAGAUUUUGAAACUGAAGGAUUUAGUUUAAUUCUAUAUAAUGUAU
rnacentral:tRNA from 1 species